CCCCAGAUCAACCUUAGAUGCAACGUGGUCUUCAGGGAGCUGGUGGCCGCCUUGCGCUGCAGGUGGACGUGGUGGAGGUGACUUCCUCACGCGCAUCAGCUCCUGAAAGAAGAUGUGGCUGGUUCUCCCAUUUGGAGUUUGAAGCCUGUAGGGAAGGACCCAAAUGGGUUUGGUUUUCUUUAGAUCAUAGCAAUACUCUGGGGGUCCGACUUUCCGAGGAUCCAGACAACUCGCUACCGUCCGCGAGCCCUGCCAGGCUGCUUCUAGAACCUUCAUACCAGAUCCUGUUGGUUGAUGGUGCUGCUGAGUACUUCCAUAUUCUUGGUGGUUUUCUGAAUAGCUUUUCCAUCAAGUGCAGAGAGAGGCAUGUCGAGCCAUCGAUCAUUCCCUGCGGAUGAUCCCGGGUGGAAAGACUCGUGGGCGCUCGGGGACGUCCAUCAGGCCGUCAAGGGUUGUAGCAGGAGAUUUCUUCCGUAGAGACGGCUCCUGGAGGAGCCCUGACCCGUCAGCCGCCCUCUGGAAGAGCUGAGUGAGCUGCCGGCUGGAAGGCUCCUAGCCAGACGCCUUCCUAAGGGUACAAGGUCCUGCCUCAGCUGCUGCUUGCCCUCCUGUCCAUGCUGUCUUACUGCAGUGUAGACGAUGGACUCUCCAGCUGUGACUGCUGUGUACAUUCUAGAACAUCCCCCUCCCCCAUGGGCGCACCCUGUGCACGCACAGCUGUGUCCGCGAGCGGCAGGGCGGCGGGACGCCGUCACGCCGGGGGAGUGUCAGCGCGCGCCGCACGGGGUGCUUUCAGCCCUGAGAAGUCUGCCCAUUAACACGCAGGACGGCCGUCCUGUGAUGCCGCGAUGCUCUGUCUGGGCCCCGGGGACAGAGAACGGGGCCUCGGAGCAUCCAAAGAGGCGUGGGGACCACGGCGAGUCCUCUGCUUCCCCCCAUGCAGGAGCUGUCAGGGAAGCACGAGGAAUUCUCAUCAUGCUCUCGCUGCCGUAACAUCAUGAUACUCGUUCUCAUAGAGAUGAGGUUUUAUAUCCAGGUCAGCCAAGACUCCCAAGCCAGCUGUAAAUGCAGAUGUUGUCCAAAUUGUAAUAGAUACAAAAAUAAUUAGAAGGCGAAGCAUAAGGUCUCGAAGACAGAAAAGAGGAGUGCGGAGGACACAGUGGGCAAGAAGGGAAGGCUUCUGGAGAGUGUGCGAGCUCUGUCUCUCAUCGUCACAUCCUGGGUUUCCAACAUCUGGAGGAAAGCUACUUUUCAGAGAUUUAUGUCUCUCCCUCUUUCUCUCUCUCCCUUUCUUCCCCUCUCUCUCUCUGUCUCCGUUUUUAUAUAUAUAAAAAAGAAUUAAAAAGGACUUGAACAUCUGGGUUUCCAA